UGAGUAACACGUAUCCAACCUGCCGUCUACUCUUGGGCAGCCUUCUGAAAGGAAGAUUAAUACAAGAUGGCAUCAUGAGUCCGCAUGUUCACAUGAUUAAAGGUAUUCCGGUAGACGAUGGGGAUGCGUUCCAUUAGAUAGUAGGCGGGGUAACGGCCCACCAAGACUACGAUGGAUAGGGGUUCUGAGAGGAAGGUCCCCCACAUUGGAACUGAGACACGGUCCAA
rnacentral:rRNA from 1 species